GCGCCGGUGGCGUCGAACGCCAACCCGGCCCUGCUGCAGGCGGAGCUGGAGUUGGAGCGACAAAAACUGCUGAAGGAAGCUGUUGACGUCGCUCAUGCUCGACAACAACUGGAUAUUUCACUCCUUGAGUAUAACGAAGCCCAUGGUCUUAGUUCUACUGCGUUUACUAACCCUAGCCGAGUUGGGGAGGUGCAUAACCGUGGCAAGAACUUGAAUGCCGAGAUGACUAGAGAUGGCAGGGGUGUGCCAGCAGUGUCGGCAAGUUACGCAUCGGCGCUAAAGCCGAAAUACAAUACCCCUGUCAAGAAUCU
rnacentral:lncRNA from 1 species